rnacentral:rRNA from 1 species
UACGUAGGGUGCGAGCGUUGUCCGGAAUUAUUGGGCGUAAAGAGCUUGUAGGCGGUUUGUCGCGUCUGCUGUGAAAAUCCGGGGCUCAACCCCGGACUUGCAGUGGGUACGGGCAGACUAGAGUGUGGUAGGGGAGACUGGAAUUCCUGGUGUAGCGGUGAAAUGCGCAGAUAUCAGGAGGAACACCGAUGGCGAAGGCAGGUCUCUGGGCCACUACUGACGCUGAGGAGCGAAAGCAUGGGGAGCGAACAGGAUUAGAUA